rnacentral:rRNA from 1 species
AACAAUGUGCCAUGUAGGG